UGCGUACCUGACAUCGUUGUUCGUCGAUCUUGAUGUAUAGAAUUAGGUUUGCAGCCUUCCAGAGAAUUGAAGAAUCGAUUUAGCGGAAG